rnacentral:rRNA from 1 species
UUCCUACGGGGGGCAGCAGUGGGGGAUAUUGCACAAUGGGGGAAACCCUGAUGCAGCGACGCCGCGUGGGUGAAGAAGCGCCUCGGCGCGUAAAGCCCUGUCAGCAGGGACGAUAAUGACGGUACCUGAGGAGGAAGCCACGGCUAGCUACGUGCCAGCAGCCGCGGUAAUACGUAGGUGGCGAGCGUUGUCCGGAUUUACUGGGCGUAAAGGGAGCGUAGGCGGGCUUUUAAGUGAGAUGUGAAAUAAUCGGGCUCAACUUGAGUGCUGCAUUUCAAACUGGAAGUCUAGAGUGCAGGAGAGGG